AGAAAAGUAUGAUACUUAAAUGUCCUGUACAAAAGUUUAUACCAGCUAGGAAAUGGUUUUCAGAUCAGCAAAACAGCACCAACCUUGAGAUCUAGCAGGCUUGGCGGCAUUGGUUUGUUUUGGUUAAGGCUAAGAAAUGAAACUCAGAAAGUGGUAAGCGCAGCUGGGUUGUUUAGCACUCACACAAUGCAAAGUUGAUGGCUUUUGUUUCUCUUUGGUCUGCAGAAAGGUUCAAUAAUUCUAUUAAUAUGUGACGAA
rnacentral:misc_RNA from 1 species